rnacentral:misc_RNA from 1 species
CCAAUAGCGUAUAUUAAAGUUGUUGCAGUUAAAAAGCUCGUAGUUGAAUUUCGGGAUCAGUAGGUCGGUCGUGCCACUGGUAUGAACUGGUCUCACUGGUUCCUCCCUCUUGACGAACUGCAAUGCUAUUAAUUUAGUGUUGUAGGAAAUCAGGACUGUUACUUUGAAAAAAUUAGAGUGUUUAAAGCAGGCUUUGGCUUGAAUACAUUAGCAUGGAAUAAUGAAAUAGGACGUUCGAUCCUAUUUGGUUGGCUUCUAGGAUUGACGUAAUGAUUAAUAGGGACAGUUGGGGGCAUUAGUAUUCAAUUGUCAGAGGUGAAAUUCUUGGAUUUAUUGAAGACUAACUACUGCGAAAGCAUUUGCCAAGGAUGUUUUCAUUAAUCAAGAACGAAAGUUAGGGGAUCGAAGACGAUCAGAUACCGUCGUAGUCUUAACCAUAAACUAUGCCGACUAGGGAUCGGAUGAUGUUAAUUUUUUAAUGACUCAUUCGGCGCCUUAC